rnacentral:lncRNA from 1 species
GUUAAUGCAGAAUUUUUUACUGAAACUUAGCCAAUUUUUUAUAAUAUUUUUUUCAGGUUCCUGAGCUGUAAUCUGAAAUCAUAUAAAUUAUAGUUAGAAAAUGAUGCAACGCUUGUUCUGAAAAAGUUAAACCCCACCCCUGCCCUCAGGACCUGACUUCUGCUUCAUGUGAACUUUUCAAAUCUAAAGGAAAGGAAACAUCUGGUGUAUCAUCUGGCCAAUGAGGUACAAGGAUUUUCACGCAUAAUAUGCACAGAUGUUUCAGAUGAGCCCAUAUACUUUACCAAAUUUGUGUGAACCCUGGCAAAGAUGAGCCUCCAGAACCAUAAGGAGAUGCCUGAAUAUGAAUUCAGACACUGGUUCCUGAAGGGUUCAUCUGAAAACAGUGAGUUGUGGAUGUUUCAGAGAACAAAAAGAAUAACCGACAGUAGACUGAAAUCUCACUGUCUGCCCCAUCACUGGAUUUUAUUUUUUGUACUAGCAUUUAAGAGAUUGUUUCAGACCUGAAGCACAGUGUGUGAUAUGCUCUCUACUUAGUUUUUUUUUUUUAGUGUCAUGCUAGGGAAUUUUUUGUUACUAACAAAUACCUCACUGCUUUUCAUGUAAUUCCGUACUCUCAAUAUCUUUCUGUAGGACAGAGGUCCUGAAUGUCAUUAGUCAUUGUAUACAUGUAUGUUUCCUUUUAUUGUGUUUGAAUUUCCCGAUUUUCAUUUUGUUUUGUGUUCAUAUGUAAUACUUGUUCAUUUUACUGAAAUACUUACUCUCGUGUCACAAGACAUGCUAUUAGGUCCCCUUACUUUAUUAUGAUUUUAUUUGUUCAUCUUCUUUUGAAACUUAAAGUAAUCCUAGUCUUCUUUAACACUUCUCAUGGAUUUUUCCAGGCCUGUGCUUAUUGCUUAUAUUCUGCCCUCUUUCGAAUUUCUAGGGCUGUGUCUCUUUUUCCUUUUCCUUCUCACCUGUUUCUUCCAUAAUAUCAUUUGACAUGAAUGUUUAUUGUAUCUCAGAUAUGACCUUGACCUUGAUACACUUUCUGAAGAUGAUCUGAUUUCACAGAAUCAUAGAAUGGUUUGGGUUGGAAGGGAUCCCAAGGUCAAGUUCCAACCCCUUGCCACAGGAAGAACUGCCAACCACCAGAUCAAGUAUAAGCUUUGUCCCAUCACUUAUCCACAAGAAUUCUUAUAUGCAGUUUAGCUGAACUGAAUAGAGAUACAUCCUCUGUCUUGAAGAGUCUCUUUGAAUUUGAAACACUCAAAGUGUAAAAAUUCACUUUUAAAGAAUAUUAUUUUCCUUACAGAGCAAAUUACAUGUGAAUAUUAAAA